rnacentral:rRNA from 1 species
GGAUGCGAUCAUACCAGCACUAAAGCACCGGAUCCCAUCAGAACUCCGAAGUUAAGCGUGCUUGGGCGAGAGUAGUACUAGUAUCGGUGACCUCCUGGGAAGUCCUCGUGUUGCAUUCC